GUGCUUUCUUAAUCAGCGCAUAUACUAAAAUUGGAAUAAUACAGGGAUUAGCAUGGCCCAGACACAAGGAUGCAAUGCAAAUUUAUGAAGCAUUCCAUAAAAAUUUUUU
ensembl:snRNA U6 U6 spliceosomal RNA